rnacentral:rRNA from 1 species
GAUGAACGCUGGCGGCGUGCCUAAUACAUGCAAGUCGAGCGAACAGACGAGGAGCUUGCUCCUCUGACGUUAGCGGCGGACGGGUGAGUAACACGUGGAUAACCUACCUAUAAGACUGGGAUAACUUCGGGAAACCGGAGCUAAUACCGGAUAAUAUAUUGAACCGCAUGGUUCAAUAGUGAAAGACGGUUUUGCUGUCACUUAUAGAUGGAUCCGCGCCGCAUUAGCUAGUCGGUAAGGUAACGGCUUACCAAGGCAACGAUGCGUAGCCGACCUGAGAGGGUGAUCGGCCACACUGGAACUGAGACACGGUCCAGACUCCUACGGGAGGCAGCAGUAGGGAAUCUUCCGCAAUGGGCGAAAGCUUGACGGAGCAACGCCGCGUGAGUGAUGAAGGUCUUCGGAUCGUAAAACUCUGUUAUUAGGGAAGAACAAAUGUGUAAGUAACUAUGCACGUCUUGACGGUACCUAAUCAGAAAGCCACGGCUAGCUACGUG